rnacentral:rRNA from 1 species
UACGUAGGGAGCAAGCGUUGUCCGGAAUCAUUGGGCGUAAAGCGCGCGUAGGCGGCCCUGUAAGUCCGUUGUGAAAGUCAAAGGCUCAACCUUUGAAAGCCGAUGGAUACUGCAGGGCUAGAGUCCGGAAGAGGCGAGUGGAAUUCCUGGUGUAGCGGUGGAAUGCGCAGAUAUCAGGAGGAACACCGAUGGCGAAGGCAGAUCUCUGGGCCGUAACUGACGCUGAGGAGCGAAAGCGUGGGGAGCGAACAGG